AUGUCCAACCUCGAGCGCACCUUUAUCUCCAUGAAGCCACACGGUGUGCGGUGGGGCCUGCUGGGCAAUGUCAUGAGGCACUUUGAGCUGAAGGGAUUCCACCUUUGGGCCUCUGAGGAACACCUGAAGCAGCUCUACCCUGACCUGAAAGACUGUCCAUUCCUCCCUGGGCUGGUGAAGUACAUGAACUCAUGGCCAUGGAGGAGGGACUGAGUGUAGUGGAGACAGGCCGAGUGAUGCUUGGGAGACCAAUCCAACGGAUUCUAAGCCAGGCACCAGUGGCGGGGACUUCUGCAUUCAGGUUGGCAGGGACAUCAUUCAUGGCAGUGACUCAGUAAAAAGUGCUGAAAAAUAAAUCAGCCUAUGGUUUAUGCUGAAGAGCUGGUUGAUUACAAGUCUUGUGCUUAUGACUGGGCCUAUGAA
rnacentral:lncRNA from 1 species